GGUGCUUAUAUAUAUAUAUUCCGUGUAUUGUAAUGUUUAUUAUUAACAAUUUGAUUCUAGUUGUUUAUUUAAUUAAAUGUAAUAUUUAUCAUGUAUUGUUUAAUAAAAUGUAGAAUAACAUUGCAGUAAUUUAUUUUAUUUUUAUUAAUUGAUUAAUUGAUGAAGUUAUAUAUUUUAGAAUUGGAUAAAUUUGUGCCAGCAUCUGCGGUUAUACAUAUAAUUCAAGUUAAUUUAAUUAGUAAAAUAUAUAUAAUUAUAUUAUUAUUUUUUAUUUUAAUUUUUAGGUGAAAUUAAUAUAUUUAUUUUUGUAUAUAUAUUGAUAUGAAGUUUUUUAUAUAAACUAGGAUUAGAUACCCUAUUAUAAUUAAAUUUAAAAAUGUUAACUGGGAGAUAUAAGAUAUAAUCUUUGUAAUUUAAAGAAUUUGGCGGUAAAUUAAUUUAUCUAGAGGAAUUUGUUUGUUAAUUGAUAGUCCUCAUUUUAUCUUACCUUAAUUAAUUUUUAAGUAUGUAUAUCGCCGUUAAGAAUGAAUAUUUUUAUAGGAUUAAUUUUCUUAGUAAAAGUAUUAUUAAAAUCAGGUCAAGGUGCAGUUUAUGUUGGGGAUAAAAAUGAAUUACAUUUAUUUUUAAUAAUUAUGAAUUAUUAUAUGAAAUUUUAAUAUGAAGGUGGAUUUAGAAGUAAAUUUUUAGUAGAGAGAUCUUUUGAAUUUAAUUUUGAUUUAUGUACAUAUUGCCCGUCGCUCUCGUUAAAUUUAAAAAUGAGAUAAGUCGUAACAUAGUAGGCCUACCGGAAGGUAGACCUAGAUUGGU
rnacentral:ncRNA from 1 species